AAAAACUCCGGUGGUAUGAGAUGGGCCCGCGUCUGAUUAGCUGGUUGGUGAGGUAACGGCUCACCAAGGCAACGAUCAGUAGCCGACCUGAGAGGGUGACCGGCCACAUUGGGACUGAGACACGGCCCAAACUCCUACGGGAGGCAGCAGUGGGGAAUAUUGCACAAUGGGGGAAACCCUGAUGCAGCGACGCCGCGUGAGCGAUGAAGUAUUUCGGUAUGUAAAGCUCUAUCAGCAGGGAAGAAAAUGACGGUACCUGACUAAGAAGCCCCGGCUAACUACGUGCCAGCAGCCGCGGUAAUACGUAGGGGGCAAGCGUUAUCCGGAUUUACUGGGUGUAAAGGGAGCGUAGACGGCGAUGCAAGCCAGAUGUGAAAGCCCGGGGCUCAACCCCGGGACUGCAUUUGGAACUGUAUAGCUAGAGUGUCGGAGAGGCAGGCGGAAUUCCUAGUGUAGCGGUGAAAUGCGUAGAUAUUAGGAGGAACACCAGUGGCGAAGGCGGCCUGCUGGACGAUGACUGACGUUGAGGCUCGAAAGCGUGGGGAGCAAACAGGAUUAGAUACCCUGGUAGUCCACGCCGUAAACGAUGACUACUAGGUGUCGGGCAGCAAAGCUGUUCGGUGCC
rnacentral:rRNA from 1 species